UAAUAAGUGUUUUAUGGCACUUUUUAAAUCCAUAUUCUCACCUUGUGUGCAAUGUCAGUCGAUCUUAUUCAUGAGAUCGAUUCCAAACGCUUAAAUUUUAUCUUUUAAAUUGUCUGAAAUAAUAUUAUGAAUUUUAAAUUCAAAAUA
rnacentral:misc_RNA from 1 species